rnacentral:misc_RNA from 1 species
GAUGAAGAACGCAGUGAAAUGCGAUAAGUAAUGUGAAUUGCAGAAUUCAGUGAAUCAUCGAAUCUUUGAACGCACAUUGCGCCCGCCAGUAUUCUGGCGGGCAUGCCUGUCUGAGCGUCAUUUCAACCCUCAUGCCCCUAGGGCGUGGUGUUGGGGAUCGGCCAAAGCCCGCGAGGGACGGCCGGCCCCUAAAUCUAGUGGCGGACCCGUCGUGGCCUCCUCUGCGAAGUAGUGAUAUUCCGCAUCGGAGAGCGAUGAGCCCCUGCCGUUAAACCCCCAACUUUCCAAGGUUGACCUCAGAUCAGGUAGGAAUACCCGCUGAACUUAAGCAUAUCAAUAAGCGAGGA